rnacentral:lncRNA from 13 species
GUUAAUCUGGGAAGCGUCGUUUUGUUUAUGGUGUUGAGUCCUUCUCUCCGUGAACAUGCCGUAUACCAUUAUUCCUUCAUGACGUCUGUGUUCUGCGGCCGUAUUUUAUACCCUCCUCCAUAAAGGUCUGCACGUCACUCUCCCUCUUGAAACCUCAGUGCCCCAUGGUUUAUUCUGCUAUCGCUGGAGCGCAAUGGCGUGAUCUCAGCUCACUGCAACCUCCACCUCCCGAGUUCAAGCGAUUUCCUGGCCUCAGCCUCCUGAAAACACGUUCUUGACUGAAGACAGGAGAGGGAGAGAGAAGAGGAGAAGGGGAAAGGCAGGCCGGUGGGUCCAUACCUGCUCGGUUUCUCCGUCCGAUCAGGGGAGCCCACCGUAACCCCGGAAGACCAACGGGCUUCACAGGCGUUAGCUGAGAGGAUCAGCGGCCGUCUUUAUGCAGAUAAAGUCCCUGCACUGUAAAGUGUGCUCACGUGAGAAACAACGUUUACGGCUGCUCUUCCGCUCGGAGUGCUCUCCCACCUCCUCACUGAGGCGACUCUGCCGUGACUGCCCUCUGGUGACGUUUCACACGGGUCACAAGAGUCCUCAGGGGCGGUGUCCAUUCCACGAGAUCCAUCCACACAGCCCUUCCCCAGACCUCCUUGACACCAACACCACCAAUGGCAUCUGGUGACACCAUCUGAAGUGGGUGCAGUCUCGUGGGACUGAGCCCUUAGCUUGUGAACUCUGCUGCUAACUCCAGGUAGGUAGUGUCAGAAUUGGUUGGAAUGGUUGAAUGCCUAGGCCGUGUUGGAGAAUUUGUUGGUGUGAGAAAAAAUAAAAACCCUUCAUAUUUGGUGACUGGAGGACAAAACAACCUCUCAGACUGACCGACCAUCUGGCCAGCUCAUCAGCUUCUGCCCAUGAAUCAGUGGAGAUCCAUGCUGCUGGCCAUCUCUCCUUCUGGCAAAGUGGACAACCAGAUGUUCUCCUCCACGUUCUGCCUAGUGGGGGGAUUUUCCUUUCCCACCAUCCUCCAGUGCCUCUCCAAGUACGGCUGUGAUCAUCCGUAUACCAGGCUCGGGAUUUCCUGUUUCAGUCAUCUGGCGGGGACAUUUGGACCCAGAGACAGAUAUAAAGGGAAAAUGUCAUGUGAAGAUGAAGGCAGAGGUUGGGGUAAUGCGUAAGAAAUGUCAAAGACUGCCAGCAAACCCCCGGAAGCCAGGAGAAAGCAUGGGACAGCUUCUCCCUCGCAUCCCUCAGAAGGAACCAACCCUGGCCUCCAGAACUGUGAGAUGAUAAAUGUCUGUUAUUUUAAUUACUCCAUCUGUGGCGGUUGUUAUGGCAACCCCAGGAAACAAAUGCAGCAUCCAUCACUCCUCCAACACUCAGGAAGUCCUUCCCUCAGGCCUGCCUGUCACCCUGAAGUCUCCUCCUGAGUCUCUUCAGCCCAUGUCUGAAUUUUUCUGUUCAGUGAACAAGUCAAGUUCACAUCAAGGUGGAGGCUGAGUGUGGGCUCGAAGCUGCCGGGGUCUUGCCUGUGCCCCCCAGACUGGGGCACGUUCCUGCUGGCCAGGUCUGGACCUUACUUUGACCCUUUCCUAAUCCCUAGGUUGGUUCAGGUAUGGAUAAGGGUCAGCUAAAGACUGAUGGUCAAAAGCGAAGAGGAUGGGUCCAGGAGACUGAGUCUUCUUUCAUUUGUCUUAUUUUAAAUGUCGGAGUUGCUCCAGCUUCAGGCACGUGUGACUGAAGGUACAGGAUCUCAUUCAGAUUAAGGAGAAUAGUAUGAAUGUUCUUCUUAUUCACAUUUUAAAAAUUCCUCUAGAUCACAAAUUCAUGUAGUCAAUAGGAAAAUGAUACUCAUUUUUGAGAAAAUAGAGAGGCUUUGUUAAUAAGCUAGUUAAAACACAGCUGAGUUGAAGGAUAAAUCCUGUUUUCCCUGAACUAGUAGGUCGACGAAGAAAUGAAGAAAUUGAAGUCUUUGAUCCUGAAAUGCCCUGUAGCAUCACUCUCAAACUUAGUUCAAAAGGUUUGUUGGGCGAGGUGGGAGUAGAGGUGUUGCUUCCCACCACCCCCAAAUAGGUUAUUGUUAUUUAUAUUUUUAUGAUUUUCUUAAAAUAUAUGCUUACUGUAAAAAUAUCAAGUGUUAUGGGAAAGUAUUAAGAAGAAAGUAAAAAUCAUGUGAAA